GAACUUACAGUCUUGAAACUAAUGGGUAGCUGCUGUUCCCACCUGAAAUUCCUGCAAACCUGUUUGGACUUGAACAGUUAUGCUCAUAGCUGAUGGAUUAACUCAACUAAGAAGCUGCUAUCAAUUUAUUGAUGUACCAGGCCAGGACCUAGAGAUUCUUACUUUAGCAAGAAUUCAAGGGAGGACUCACAGGCACUAAGCUGGAUCUUCUCAGAACAUCAACUUUUCUGUUGCUCUUGGGACAGCAUAUGGUGGUGUCCAUUGUGAAACCUAAAAUCACAGAAUCAC